GAAACCAGUGGUGCCAGGACAGGAUCCAGAAGGGCAGACCAGCCUGGGCCCCUCUCCUCUGGGAAGGAGGAGGGAAGUCCACUCACACUAGCCAUCCUGGAUGUCUGCUACCUGUGACUCAGCUUGGGCCAAGGGACAGGGAAGAUUCCAAAGCCCAAGAGGUUCAUUUCCCCAUCUCUUGGCACAGAAAUCGGUCCAGGCAAAUGCUGAGCCAGAUGCAGGAGCUGGCUUGCAUCCCUUCCCCAUAGUGACUAUAUCCCGGGGGAAAGCCUGAGGUCAGAGUUGUGAGGACAUUGUGUACAGUGCUGGCCUCCUGCCCGGCUGCCACGAUGCCAUGGGCAGUGUGGAUGGACAAAUACGUGGGGCUGGUUGGAUCCCAACUUGUCUCAGUGUGCUUGCUUAUUUGAGCAAGCUGACACUUUAAUCUCAGGACCUGGGGGGCUGAAGCCACAGUGUCAGGGAGGAGGCUUGGGUCUAGUACCUAUAGGUCAUGGGGGAAGAGAGGGGCCUGGGGACCUAUGGGUCAUGGGGUAGGGACUUAGGUCAGGGGAAUGUAUUAUCUUUACUUAUGUACACUCAGAGUUGACUUAGAUCUGUGUUUUAAAGUGUCAAAGGGUGAGGAAAGACGAGGUAAGAAGGCCAGAGCCAGGGGGCAGCUGGGCCAGGGGACAGUUGUGAGUGCCUGAGUGCCUCUGGGAUUCCCAGCCAGUCCUUCUGUGGGCCUUGCUCUCCAGGCUCAGAGCCUUAUGGGUAUUGCUGGCCUGUCCUUGCAGGGAGCCUGGAAGGGCAAAAGGAAGGGAAGGUCCAGUGGGCUGUCCAGGCUGCAUGAAGAUCUGCGAGCACACCUGCCCUCAGCUCCGCAAUCCCCAUUUGACAUCUGGCUGGGGACAGUCACAGACUCACAAGCUCCAAGAGGGCAAGAACAUGGAGCUAACUCGCCAGUGAUACCAGCUUCCAGAACAAUGUCUGCCUAUUCAAUGGGUAUGUAUUGUAUGUUGAAUGACUGAAUGAAGCAAACAAAUUUUAGGACUCCCUUUCCUGGGUACAUACUCUGCUUCCCAACCCUUCCUAGCUAAGCUGAGGUAAAAUGACCAUAUGCUGAAACGAGCACCUCCUAAGUGUUCAGUUUGAUGAUCUUGACAAUUGUAUAGACUCAGAUAACCAGCACCCAAAACAGGAUAUGGAACACAUCAGUGACUGACUCAAACCUUUCCCCUGGCCCAUAUCCCAGUCAAGUCCCCCUAUCCUGGGCAACACACUCUGACUUUUCUCACUGGAAGUGAGAUGUUCCCGUUACCAGAUUUCAUCUAAGGGGAUGGGCCAUUACGUCCUUUCGGCGGCUAGCUUCUUUGCUGUGCAUGUUUUUGAGAAUCAUCAUGUUGCUGCACGUACCUGCUGUCCAUUCUCUUCCAUUCUGAGUGUCCGGGCUGGAUGAAUGGUCCAUCAGUUGUUUAUCUGCUCACCUAUUGGCAGACUUUGGGAUGGUUCCCAUUUGGAGCAACACUGCAUGAAGCUGCGAUGGAUUUUCUUCUACAAGUCUUCUUGUGGACAUGGGUUACACUUCACUCGAGGAAAUCCCUAGGAGUAGAGUUACUGUUCCUUAGGAUAGAUGAAUGUUUGACAUUGUAGAAAACGCCAGACUCUUUUCCCGAGGGGUGGUACCAUUUCGUGCUCCCGCCAGCAAUGUAUGAGAGCUCUGGUUCUUCCACUUGCUCACCAACGUUGAGUCUCCUCAGUCUUUGUAAAUUCAGUCAUUCUAGUGAGGAUGUAGGGUUAUCCCACUGUAGCGUUUCUUUAAAAAAUAGUUUUAUUGAGAUACAAUUUGCAUACCAUACAGCUUACUCAUGUAAGUUGUACCACUGG
rnacentral:lncRNA from 1 species